rnacentral:rRNA from 1 species
AUUGAACGCUGGCGGCAGGCCUAACGCAUGCAAGUCGAGCGGAUGAAGGGAGCUUGCUCCUGGAUUCAGCGGCGGACGGGUGAGUAAUGCCUAGGAAUCUGCCUGGUAGUUGGGGAUAACGUCCGGAAACGGGCGCUAAUACCGCAUACGUCCUGAGGGAGAAAGUGGGGGAUCUUCGGACCUCACGCUAUUAGAUGAGCCUAUGUCGGAUUAGCUAGUUGGUGGGGUAAAGGCCUACCAAGGCGACGAUCCGUAACUGGUCUGAGAGGAUGGUCAGUCACACUGGAACUGAGACACGGUCCAGACUCCUACGGGAGGCAGCAGUGGGGAAUAUUGGACAAUGGGCGAAAGCCUGAUCCAGCCAUGCCGCGUGUGUGAAGAAGGUCUUCGGAUUGUAAAGCACUUUAAGUUGGGAGGAAGGGCAGUAAGUUAAUACCUUGCUGUUUUGACGUUACCAACAGAAUAAGCACCGGCUAACUUCGUG